GAUGAACGCUGGCGGCGUGCUUAACACAUGCAAGUCGAACGAUGAUCUUGGUGCUUGCACCGGGUGAUUAGUGGCGAACGGGUGAGUAACACGUGAGUAACCUGCCCCCGACUCUGGGAUAAGCCCGGGAAACUGGGUCUAAUACCGGAUAUUCACUUCCUUCCGCAUGGGAGGUGGUGGAAAGAUUUAUCGGUGGGGGAUGGACUCGCGGCCUAUCAGCUUGUUGGUGGGGUAAUGGCC
rnacentral:rRNA from 1 species